GAUGAACGCUGGCGGCGUGCCUAAUACAUGCAAGUCGAGCGAACAGACGAGGAGCUUGCUCCUCUGACGUUAGCGGCGGACGGGUGAGUAACACGUGGAUAACCUACCUAUAAGACUGGGAUAACUUCGGGAAACCGGAGCUAAUACCGGAUAAUAUAUUGAACCGCAUGGUUCAAUAGUGAAAGACGGUUUUGCUGUCACUUAUAGAUGGAUCCGCGCCGCAUUAGCUAGUUGGUAAGGUAACGGCUUACCAAGGCAACGAUGCGUAGCCGACCUGAGAGGGUGAUCGGCCACACUGGAACUGAGACACGGUCCAGACUCCUACGGGAGGCAGCAGUAGGGAAUCUUCCGCAAUGGGCGAAAGCUUGACGGAGCAACGCCGCGUGAGUGAUGAAGGUCUUCGGAUCGUAAAACUCUGUUAUUAGGGAAGAACAAAUGUGUAAGUAACUAUGCACGUCUUGACGGUACCUAAUCUGAAAGCCACGGCUAACUACGU
rnacentral:rRNA from 1 species